rnacentral:rRNA from 1 species
CCUACGGGGGGCUGCAGUGGGGAAUAUUGGACAAUGGGGGGAACCCUGAUCCAGCCAUGCCGCGUGUGUGAAGAAGGCCCUCGGGUUGUAAAGCACUUUCAGUGAGGAAGAACGCCUGGUGGUUAAUACCCAUCAGGAAAGACAUCACUCACAGAAGAAGCACCGGCUAACUCCGUGCCAGCAGCCGCGGUAAUACGGAGGGUGCGAGCGUUAAUCGGAAUUACUGGGCGUAAAGCGCGCGUAGGUGGCUUGAUAAGCCGGUUGUGAAAGCCCCGGGCUCAACCUGGGAACGGCAUCCGGAACUGUCAAGCUAGAGUGCAGGAGAGGAAGGUAGAAUUCCCGGUGUAGCGGUGAAAUGCGUAGAGAUCGGGAGGAAUACCAGUGGCGAAGGCGGCCUUCUGGACUGACACUGACACUGAGGUGCGAGAGCGUGGGUAGCAAACAGGAUUAGAUACCCCAGUAGUC